rnacentral:rRNA from 1 species
CGCUGGCGGCGUGCCUAACACAUGCAAGUCGAGCGGGACAUACGACGGAACCAAAGUUUCGGAUGGAGGUGAAGAUGUAUGUUCUAGCGGCGGACGGGUGAGUAACGCGUGAGCAACCUGUCCCUUACAGGGGGAUAACACAGCGAAAGUUGUACUAAUACCGCAUGAGACCACGGGGAGACAUCUUUCAGGGGUCAAAGGAGCAAUCCGGUAAGGGGUGGGCUCGCGUCCGAUUAGAUAGUUGGUGAGGUAACGGCCCACCAAGUCGACGAUCGGUAGCCGACCUGAGAGGGUGAUCGGCCACAUUGGGACUGAGACACGGCCCAAACUCCUACGGGAGGCAGCAGUGGGGAAUAUUGGGCAAUGGGGGGAACCCUGACCCAGCAACGCCGCGUGAGGGAAGAAGGUUUUCGGAUCGUAAACCUCUGUCCUUGGUGAAGAGUAAGAGACGGUAGCCAAGGAGGAAGCCCCGGCUAACUACGUGCCAGCAGCUGC